GUGGGACUGAGGCGUUCCGGGACGUUGUCACUGACGCUCCCCGGUCUCUGAGGCUGCGAACACGGAGCUGAGCGGGGCCUGGCCGGGCUGUAGAAAAACUUCUGCUAUUGCUAUGUGAACUCAACAUGGUCCCUUAAGAAGUCAGUUCACACUGAAGAUCACAAGGCAUUGCGCUCUCCUCUGGUGGUGUGUCUCCUAUUGUUCUCUCAUCCUGCGGACCUCUCUCGCUCUGGGAACCACAGCCUCCUCUUGGUGACUUGACCUCCGUGCAGAUCACUCCAUGGUUCCCACUUCGGGGAGGGGGGGUAUGUAACAAACCUUUCUAGAACAAAUCCGACUAUUCUCUGCCUCAUCAGUGCCACAUCCCCAGUGGCCGGUAGGGAAACCCAGGCUCUACAGUCAGCACCCAAGCCCUGCACUGUCCUGUCUUACUGCUUUCCCCAGAGCCUUUUCUGCCUUCCUGGGUUUUCCACACUCUGGGCUCCCAGCUUCCUCCUCUCAGAGAGUGGCUGCAGCCUAUUUUCUUGCUUCUCUUCUCAGCUUCUGGGUUUUAUAUAGGUACCUCCUGUUCUUGUGCAGUUGAGCCUCAUUUCAUCAAUCCCUAGCUCCUCAUCCAGAUUAAGCCUGGGGGAAUUAACUGGCCUAUUUGGCCAGCUUAACCCGUAAGCCUUGUGUGUGAUGGAUGUCCCAUCACAUAGCAGUUGUCCUAAAUGUGAGAGUAUUUUCUUUUGAAUAAUGCUGAACAUUACAUAUUUGCAGUAUCUUAAAAGUUUAAUCACUGCAUAAAGAGCAUAAUCAACUUUUUGUUUUUUGUGCAGAGGUGUAAUUGACAUCAGGUAGGAGUUCUGCUGGGGAUUCAGAGUGAUGUAUCAUCCUUAAUUUAUAUCUGAACUCAUAGAUCACAAUUAAAAGUGAAAUUGCCCUUCUUCAUAGACUGCCCUAAAUCUAUUCCCCUAUUUUCAUUAAAAUAAGAAUGUUUGUACUUAUGUAGGCAGAUGAUAUAUAACCUUGUCCUUUCUAUUUUCUGCUA